CUGACCUGACGCUGAGACGCGAAAGCGUAGGGAGCGAACGGGAUUAGAUACCCCGGUAGUCUACGCCGUAAACGAUGCGCACUAGGUUCGAGAGAUUCUGACAUCAUUCGAGCCGAAACAAAAGCGAUAAGUGCGCCGCCUGGGGAGUACGGCCGCAAGGCUAAAACUCAAAGGAAUUGACGGGGGCUCACACAAGCGGUGGAGCAUGUGGAUCAAUUCGAAGCAACGCGAAGAACCCUACCUGGGUUUGACAUGCACGGAUGCCCUCUGUGAAAGUGGAGUAAGCUGCCUUCGGGUGAAACGUGCACAGGUGCUGCAUGGCUGUCGUCAGCUCGUGCUGUGAAGUGUCGGGUUAAGUCCCUUAACGAGCGAAACCCUUAUCGCUAGUUGCCAGCGGGUUAUGCCGGGAACUCUAGCGAGACUGCCGGCGUUAAGCCGGAGGAAGGUGGGGACGACGUCAAGUCAUCAUGGCCUUUAUGCCCAGGGUUUCACACGUGCUACAAUGGGGUGUACAGAGCGAAGCGAGACCGUGAGGUGGAGCAAAUCGCAGAAAACAUCCCUCAGUUCGGAUUGGGGUCUGCAAUUCGACCCCAUGAAGUUGGAAUCGCUAGUAAUCGCGUAUCAGCCAUGACGCGGUGAAUAUGUUCCUGAGCCUUGUACACACCGCCCGUCAAGUCAUGGGAAUUGGGAGUUCCCGAAGUCGCUGCAUUUCAGCAGUGCCGACG
rnacentral:rRNA from 1 species